rnacentral:tRNA from 1 species
GCAGUGGUGGUUAAGUGGUAGAAUUCUCACCUUUCAUGUGGGAGACCCAGGUUCAACUGCUGACCAAUUCA